AAGGAUGGAAGGAAGUGCAUUUGCUUGAAGUGCAUAACAUUGAACGUGUGUAGGCUGAGAAUGCAGUUGCUGUUUUUAAACUAACGUUUUUACGUAGCCUAACUUUGAGAGUAACCGUUUGAUCAUGUGACCUAAAAAAAAGCAGCAGCAGCCGAAGAAGUAACUUCAUCUUCUGACGUGCCCCAAAAAAUAUGAAAAAGUGUCGGGAAAAGCUAAACCAGAAACCAGCAAAGCACCUGCUGUGGCACGGAGAACUCCUCUUCAUCCACCUACGAUGGUGAUGGUUAACGAAGCGCUGAAGGAGUUGGACUCUCGAAAGGGGGYCUCCUCGCAGGCCAUUCGCGGAUACAUAACAGAGAAAUAUCYAUCUGUGGACCUGGUGAGGUUGAAAUACAUGAUACGCAAGACCCUGAAAAAAGGAUUCGAGGGCGGGGUAUUGGUGAGGACAUCAACUCGAAAGCAAACGGAGCACAGGGGAGGCUUCGGAAGCUGAGAAGAAAAGGCUACAGCCAAAAAGCAGAAGGAGAAACCUUCAGAGG